rnacentral:tRNA from 1 species
GGAGAGAUAGCUCUGCAGUAGAGCACAGGCCUUAUGUGCCUGAAGUCGUAGGCUCUGUCCC